rnacentral:rRNA from 1 species
AAUGAACGUUGGCGGCAUGGAUUAGGCAUGCAAGUCGAGCGAGAACCGUAGCAAUACGGGGACAGCGGCGAAAGGGAGAGUAACGCGUGGAUAUCUACCUCCGGGCCUGGGAUAGCUGCGGGAAACUGCAGGUAAUACCGGAUAAUGUCUGAGGACCAAAGGUGUGAUUCCUCCUGGAGAUGAGUCCGCGUCCUAUUAGCUAGUUGGUAGGGUAAUGGCCUACCAAGGCAAUGAUGGGUAGCAGGUGUGAGAGCACGACCUGCCUCACUGGGACUGAGACACUGCCCAGACACCUACGGGUGGCUGCAGUCGAGAAUCUUCGGCAAUGGGCGCAAGCCUGACCGAGCGAUGCCGCGUGCGGGAUGAAGGCCU